AUAACACAGAUUGUACUAAAUGCAAAAUAACCAUCUAAAAAGCAAACCUUAUUUGAUAAUACACACAGAGACAUAAAAUUUAAAAAUAGAAAAAUAGAAAAAGCUGAAGCUAUUUACUGUAUUAAUGGCACUUGUCAGACGAGAUGUAUAAUAAAUGUUUUUCAUGCAUGCAUGGCAUGACAAGAGGAUUCUUUUAGAAUCUUCUCCUAAUAUGUUUUGCUGAGUCCUAUUUGAACACAAUUAGCCAAGCUUAGCUCAUGAUUAUUACACCUGGACAUUCAUGGUAUAUCAAUGCACUUGAAAUAUUAUGAAACAAGCAAAGCUAAUUUAUAUAUUAAUUUACCCACUGGAAAAGACAUCUAACUAGCAUGUCAACUUGAACAUCAGUUAUGAUAGUAAGAUGAAGAAAAAGCCAACCAAAAGCAAUCAGCCAUCUAAAAUCAUUUGCAAGGAAAGCAGCUGGUAAACAUAUUUCACCAGCGAUUACCCCAUGUGUAAAAAUACAACUUCAGCCCGUUUUAAUGUUCUCUAGAAAAAGCUAAAUUCCCUACAAUAGUAGAUCAAGUCUGACAAAAAGAUGCACCACUUGUAUUAAUAGAAAAGAUAAAACACAGAAUUGAUGUAAAACUUUCCAUGCAUGCAUGACAUGACAUGACAUGACAUGUGGAUUCUUUUAGAAUCUUCUCCUAAUAUGUUUUGCUGAGUCCUAUUUGAACACAAUUAGCAAAGCUUAGCUCACGAUUAUUACACCUGGACAUUCAUGGUAUAUCAAUGCACUUGAAAUAUUAUGAAACAAGCAAAGCUAAUUUAUGUAUUAAUUUAUCCACUGGAAAAGACAUCUAAUUAGCAUGUCAACUUGAACAUCAGUUACGAUGGUACGCUGAAGAAAAAGCCAACCAGAAGCAAUCAGCCAUCUAAAAUCAUUUGCAAGGAAAGCAGCUGGUAAUCAUAUUUCACCAGCAAUUACCCAAUGUGCAAAAAUACAACUUCAGCCCGUUUUAAUGUUCUCUAGAAAAAGCUAAAUUCCCUAUGAUAGUAGAUCAAGCCUGACAAAAAGAAGCACCACUUGUAUUAAUAAAAAAGAUAAAACAAAGAAUUGGUGCAAGACUUUUCAUGCAUGCAUGGCAUGACAUGUGGAUUCUUUUAGAAUCUUCUCCUAAUAUGUUUUGUUGAGUCCUUUUCAAACACAAUUAGCCAAGCUGAGAUCAUGAUUAUUACACCUGGACAUUCAUGGUAUAUCAAUGCACUUGAAAUAUUAUGAAACAAGCAAGGCUAAUUUAUAUAUUAAUUUAUCCACUGGAAAAGACAUCUAAAUAGCAUGUCAA
rnacentral:lncRNA from 1 species